UACGUAGGGUGCGAGCGUUGUCCGGAAUUACUGGGCGUAAAGAGCUCGUAGGCGGUUUGUCGCGUCGUCUGUGAAAACCAGCAGCUCAACUGCUGGCUUGCAGGCGAUACGGGCAGACUUGAGUACUGCAGGGGAGACUGGAAUUCCUGGUGUAGCGGUGGAAUGCGCAGAUAUCAGGAGGAACACCGGUGGCGAAGGCGGGUCUCUGGGCAGUAACUGACGCUGAGGAGCGAAAGCGUGGGGAGCGAACAGG
rnacentral:rRNA from 1 species